AGCUAUGUAAAGGAUGGUUUGAAGAAGAGAAGAGAUUGGAAACGAGGAGAGCAGUUAUGGAGCUCAUUGAAAUAGUCCAGAAGACCCCAGCUCAUCUGAGGAUCAAGAAAAGCUUCACCAAGGUGGUGACCUUGAGUUGAUGAAACUAGAAUUUGAAGACUGAAACGUGUGAAAUCUGUCAUGCACUGACUAAGUGUUGUUAGGUGAUCCAGCUCAACUCACUCUGCAAAGGAAGAAAAUGAGAGAUGAAAGGACUGAGCCCAGCUCGAUUUCUGACAGUCGACAUGGCAACGUGGCCAGAGGUGACCCACAAUCUGGAAGACUUUGAGUCAAAUGCUACCUCUGACAUUUCCUAGCAGUGGGAU